rnacentral:rRNA from 1 species
UCUUCCCUCUUUCUUCGUGCCUAAUACAUGCAAGUCGAGCGAACGGACGAGAAGCUUGCUUCUCUGAUGUUAGCGGCGGACGGGUGAGUAACACGUGGAUAACCUACCUAUAAGACUGGGAUAACUUCGGGAAACCGGAGCUAAUACCGGAUAAUAUUUUGAACCGCAUGGUUCAAAAGUGAAAGACGGUCUUGCUGUCACUUAUAGAUGGAUCCGAGCUGCAUUAGCUAGUUGGUAAGGUAACGGCUUACCAAGGCAACGAUGCAUAGCCGACCUGAGAGGGUGAUCGGCCACACUGGAACUGAGACACGGUCCAGACUCCUACGGGAGGCAGCAGUAGGGAAUCUUCCGCAAUGGGCGAAAGCCUGACGGAGCAACGCCGCGUGAGUGAUGAAGGUCUUCGGAUCGUAAAACUCUGUUAUUAGGGAAGAACAUAUGUGUAAGUAACUGUGCACAUCUUGACGGUACCUAAUCAGAAAGCCACGGCUAACUACGUG